CACUCUGUACGGCCGCGCCGCGCGCUCACUAAUGCGUCAUAUCGCGAUCGAAACUGACGCGCAUGCUGUAGUUCUGGAACAGCAAUUCGCGCGCGCCAUGUGUACUUCAGUGUUGACUUAUAUACAGACUAAAAUAAAUCGCAGUGACGUUUACGCUUCUCGCCGGCUUCGUUAGAACUUUUAAAAUAAUGGACAGUGACUUUGGUGGCUGUAACCGAUCCUGUGACAAUAGUGAUGCACGAGGUUGACGCACGUGCUCCCAUCCCAUUCCUGAAACAAGACACACCGCGGGCCGCGGCGCCGCCGGCCGCCCGGAAUGCGGCCUCCGCCCCACCGCGCGUUGCCGGCGCCGAGCGCGCCGCGCGUAGCGUAAUAAAUAAAGGCGGGGCGCGGCUGCGUGCGCGCGCACCCUCCCGCGUCCUCUUCGCCCUCGGGUCAUUGACUCGCGCCCGACCGCCGCCAACGCUGCCGAAGACAACAAUUCGAGGAAGCGACACCGUGUUCAUGGCCCCAGAGCCGUAGCCGCACUCGACAUGGCGCCAAACGUUAUUCUGAAAAGAAUAAAAGAAGUAACGUGGGUUGAAAAUAUCUACAGGAUUUCAUCAUCCGUUGAUAAGCAAAAUUAUUAUGCUUGAAAAAGAAGAACAUGCAAGCAUUAAGAAAAGCAAACGAGAGAGCAAACAGAGGCGAGGCGAGACAUCUAUAUUGAUUUUCGGAGAAGGUAACGAUAGUUGGAACAUAAAGGGAAUGUGUCCUUCUUGUCGAUACACCACCACCGAUUAAAUAAAGCGAGCUGUUGACCAUUCCUGACAUGCAUAUCUUCUGACUUCAGUGCCAGUAUUCAUAAAAUAUGUUUUAACAGCGCAUCACACCGGAAGGGGGGCCGGCUGGCAGCCACCACCCUCGCGCCUCCCCGGAACGCUUUCACAGGGGGUCUCGAGAGAAGCAAAUACUUGACGAGAAAUUGAAAUAAAAUGCUACGUCAAUGUAUAUUAAAUAAAAUAAAUUAUUUAUAUUUCAUUUACAAGUAUAAUUUGUUUUAUUGCCAUUGUAAAAAAUAAAAUUAUUUUUUAAAGAUC